CCCGGGCCUUGUAUACACCGCCCGUCACACCACGAGAGUUUGUAACACCCGAAGUCGGUGAGGUAACCUUUAUGGGGCCAGCCGCCGAAGGUGGGACAGAUGAUUGGGUG
rnacentral:rRNA from 1 species